UCUUCUUCGCCACAGCGCCUUCUCUCCUCCAUCGUCAGAAGUAGUCUUCGGUCCUCCCCCUCGGCGCUCAACCAGCUCACCGCCACGGACUCGCGAACUCCGGCGCCUGCGGCCUGCGACCACCACCACCGCCUCCCUUCCCUGAGUUAGAUCCAGGUAGAAGUGAUGGAGGCUAUCUUUUGCUACCGAUGAUGCGGUUGUGGAGCUAGAGCAGUCGCUCAAAGUCGUUAGACAGGUUAUUUCCGAGAAGCCUGAUUUAGAAGGAAAGGAACUUUCGGAAACAUACUUCGGUAGUAAUACCGACUAGCAUUUUAUCUCAGGUGAGGGAAUUGAUCUAAACUCGGCUCAAGAAGCCUACAGACAAUGAUGCAGACCAUUUCAGUCACUCCUGUAUGUUAUGGUGAUUUGUCGAGUUAACCGAGUUUUGUUGAUUGUAUGUAUGCCCGGAACAUCCAUCUUCCGCGCGAGUUUAAAAACAGUCAUCAACUCAAAGGCAAAGAAUUCAUUCAAUGAACACUUGGAACAAACA